rnacentral:tRNA from 1 species
GCCUGGCUAGCUCAAUCGGUAGAGUAUGAGACUCUUAAUCUCAAGGCUGUGGGUUCGACCCCCACGUCGGGCA